CUUGGUGGUUCUAGCGACGGGGGUACACCUGUUCCCAUCCCGAACACAGCAGUUAAGCCCGUCAGCGCCAAUGGUACUACAGUUCAGCUGUGGGAGAGUAGGUCGCCGCCAAGA
rnacentral:rRNA from 2 species